rnacentral:rRNA from 1 species
CCUACGGGAGGCUGCAGUCGAGAAUCAUUCACAAUGGGGGAAACCCUGAUGGUGCGACGCCGCGUGGGGGAAUGAAGGUCUUCGGAUUGUAAGCACCUGUCAUGUGGGGGCAAAUUAAAAAGAUAGUACCACAAGAGAAAGAGGCGGCUAACUCGGUGCCAGCAGCCGCGGUAAUACAGAGGUCUCAAGCGUUGUUCGGAAGCACUGGGCGUAAAGCGUGCGUAGGCUGUUUCGUAAGUCGUGUGUGAAAGGCGCGGGCUCAACCCGCGGACGGCACAUGAUACUGCGAGACUAGAGUAAUGGAGGGGGAACCGGAAUUCUCGGUGUAGCAGUGAAAUGCGUAGAGAUCGAGAGGAAUACUCGUGGCGAAGGCGGGUUCCUGGACAUUAACUGACGCUGAGGUACGAAGGCCAGGGGAGCGAAAGGGAUUAGAUACCCGGGUAGUC